UUAGGUAUGUUUUGUAUUUUCUUCUGACAGAUGCUGGCAAUCCUUGUCUUCAUCUCCUUUUCUUUAGCCUCUCAGUUGGUCCCUUUGGAGUUCAAGUGAGACUCCUUCAAUGCCCAUUUAUUCUUGGUCUUGAAAUUUUUGGUCUGCUCGUGACUCACAGAAUAAGUGUGGAUCAUGGCAUGCAUCUCUCAUUCCUGUAGAGUGCUGUAUUCCUGGCACUUACUGCAAAUUCUAUAUGUAAUAGCAAAUUAAUAUGUAUUUUAACAACAGGAGCCAAACUAAUGUUAACAUAAUUAAUGUUACUAUAAUCUAUGCAGACUAACCCCUCCCUGCUAGUGUAUGAACACACCCUGUUCAAGAAGCUUACAAUUUUAGAAGGCAGUAAUUCAUUUCAAUGACUAACUAAUAAGAACAGAGAGAAGGAGUAAUAGCACUCCACAUGAUAAUAGAGCCCAGAGCUGUUGGCUGCUCUAACUAUAAGACAAGAAAUUCCCACUGUGGCCUCCAAGGACCUGUGCAAAACAAGCAAGCAACUUUUUAAUCUCAGAAGAACUAGCUAAGCCCAUUUCUGGAAGAGAGACACAGAACCAUCCUCGUUGAAGAGGGAUUUCUCUUCAAAGCUAUGCACUUUUUAACAUCUCUAUUUUGUUAAUAUUUUACUCUGUCAAUUUACAAUUCAUCUGAAGUUUCAGAAAAGGAUGAUUUUUGUCCUCAAUUCCAC
rnacentral:lncRNA from 1 species